rnacentral:misc_RNA from 1 species
GUAGGUGAACCUGCGGAGGGAUCAUUCACAUGAUAUACUUUUAAACAAACCGUGAACUCUAUAUACCAUUCGUGUUGAUUGUUUAAUUACUUUGGUAGUUUUCAAUCGAACACCGUCAUUCGUUGAACAUUAGAUAGUUGGCUCGUUAUGUUUAUACAUAACCUUCUCAGCUGAUUUGUUGUAUAGACUAAACAUCUAUCAUCAAUCACCAAAACAUAGAAACAGCUCUAUGCCCUGGAUAUCUUGGUUC